AGCGAACGCUGGCGGCAGGCCUAACACAUGCAAGUCGAACGAACUCUUCGGAGUUAGUGGCGGACGGGUGAGUAACACGUGGGAACGUGCCUUUUGGUUCGGAAUAACUCAGGGAAAAUUGUGCUAAUACCGAAUGUGCCCUUCGGGGGAAAGAUUUAUCGCCAUUAGAGCGGCCCGCGUCUGAUUAGCUAGUUGGUGAGGUAACGGCUCACCAAGGCGACGAUCAGUAGCUGGUCUGAGAGGAUGACCAGCCACACUGGGACUGAGACACGGCCCAGACUCCUACGGGAGGCAGCAGUGGGGAAUCUUGCGCAAUGGGCGAAAGCCUGACGCAGCCAUGCCGCGUGAAUGAUGAAGGUCUUAGGAUUGUAAAAUUCUUUCACCGGGGACGAUAAUGACGGUACCCGGAGAAGAAGCCCCGGCUAACUUCGUG
rnacentral:rRNA from 1 species